ACGUAGGGGGCAAGCGUUAUCCGGAUUUACUGGGUGUAAAGGGAGCGUAGACGGCAUGGCAAGCCAGAUGUGAAAGCCCGGGGCUCAACCCCGGGACUGCAUUUGGAACUGUCGGGCUAGAGUGUCGGAGAGGAAAGCGGAAUUCCUAGUGUAGCGGUGAAAUGCGUAGAUAUUAGGAGGAACACCAGUGGCGAAGGCGGCUUUCUGGACGAUGACUGACGUUGAGGCUCGAAAGCGUGGGGAGCAAACAG
rnacentral:rRNA from 1 species